UACAGAGGUCCCAAGCGUUGUUCGGAUUCAUUGGGCGUAAAGGGUGUGUAGGUGGCGCCGUAAGUCGGGUGUGAAAUUUCGAGGCUUAACCUCGAAACUGCAUUCGAUACUGCGGUGCUUGAGGACUGGAGAGGAGACUGGAAUUCAUGGUGUAGCAGUGAAAUGCGUAGAGAUCAUGAGGAAGACCAGUGGCGAAGGCGGGUCUCUGGACAGUUCCUGACACUGAGACACGAAGGCCAGGGGAGCAAACGGG
rnacentral:rRNA from 1 species